ACGAACGCUGGCGGCGUGCUUAACCCAUGCAAGUCGAACGGAAAGGCCCCUUUGGGGGUACUCGAGUGGCGAACGGGUGAGUAACACGUGAGUAACCUGCCCUUGACUUCGGGAUAACUUCAGGAAACUGGGGCUAAUACCGGAUAGGAAUCCUUGCUGCAUGGUGGGGGUUGGAAAGCUUCGGCGGUUUUGGAUGGACUCGCGGCUUAUCAGCUUGUUGGUGGGGUAGUGGCUUACCAAGGCUUUGACGGGUAGCCGGCCUGAGAGGGCGACCGGCCACAUUGGGACUGAGAUACGGCCCAGACUCCUACGGUAGGCAGCAGUGGGGAAUAUUGCACAAUGGGCGGAAGCCUGAUGCAGCAACGCCGCGUGCGGGAUGACGGCCUUCGGGUUGUAAACCGCUUUCAGCAGGGGCGAAGCUUGUGGUGACGGUACCUGCAGAAGAAGCACCGGCUAACUACGUG
rnacentral:rRNA from 1 species